CUCAACCCAAACCCUGCACCCUCAGGUCAGGAGGCCAAAGAAGUUGAACAGUGAACUAGUUAGGUUCUGUCUACUUAAUUUAGAAUAAUUUUUCUCAUAAUUUGAGCAACAUGCAUGAGAGAAGUCCUCAACCUCUGCCAAAUUAAGUGUAUCCUAUGACUCUCCAUCUGAAAACAUCCUUUCUGGGGCCAGGGAAGUUUCUUCCAUCCCUGUCUUUUGGUGGCUGUGUUGAAGAUGCAAUGAGAAGAUAUUGGUCAUCCUUUUCCUAGCUCACUACUGCUUAUCUCCCGGAGGCCCGUGGCGUCCAGUGUUGGUCCACCAGUUACACUUCGCAGAAGGUAGAACCCUGGGAGGAAGAGAGCCAGGAAGGGAAGAGUCUAUGGGUACAAAGAGUUCGUGCACAUGGAACACACCAUACCACAUCACUAAGAAAAUUAACCUUCCGUGUCUGGAUGAGGAAAGUCAGGUGCAGAGAAGAAUAUGAAGGCAAUUAAAGAACAAAAACCAUAACAUGCCCCAAAUUACGAAAAGAACUGGCAUUUGCAAAGAAUAACAUCCUCACUCAGGCCUCAUGUUGUAAGUGAGGAAACUACGAAUCAAAGACAACAAGCAGCCCUCUGCUUAGCUCAGCUCCCAGGAACCAUUCUCUUCCCAGAGCACAUGUUCUGGAGGGGCCUGGUUUUCCAUCUUCUCUGGAGAUCCUCUGAUGAAAGCAUAACCAGAGGGAGGCUUACCCUCUACUUGCUCACCUUCUCCCCUGCUGAGAUGGCCUUUGGAGGCUCUUCCAGUUAAUUUGCCUUAUGCUGCACUGCAUCAUGUUUCUAGUUAACUGCAAAGCAAAUAGUCCAUGGCCUAGAGGAGGCCUGCACCCUGGAACAAUUGUUGGAAUACGCUGGCCAUUUAAUAUGUCAAGAGUGAAGGAGAAAUAUUCCUUGUGUGGCUUUGGUGGUAAAGUGUGAAAAGGACUGCAAAGCCCGUGUGUCACCGAGGAGAGGGUCAGAAGAAUGUUGCUGGCAGGGCAGAGGCCACUUCUAGAUGCUGGUGUGAUGGAGAAAAUGUAAUCAACCAUAAGGCCCUUGGGGAAAGUAUUGUAUUUGUUUGGAAGAAAUAUUUUAGUAUAAGACUCCUGUGAACAUGCUCAAAGACAAAGGAUAGUUUCUCAAUAGUCUUCUAAGGGUAGGAAUGAUUGAUGAGAGGGGAUUUUGAUUUGUUGAGCACUUAGAUAAGUUUUAGUAUACACAUUUAGGGACAGAAGCCAGGGCAGAGAUAAACUGCUCAGCAUAAAAUGGGAAAGAGGUGAUGAGGAGGCUAAUUCUGGGAAGAGAGGAGCCACCUCCUUGCUGGUAUGGACAAUUUGUAUGUAUUGGGCGUUGAGCAUCACACACAAUCCCCUUUCUCUGGCUUUGUAAUUGCCUGAUGUGUUCUUCCUGUCUGCUGCACAAACAAAGACCACAGCAUAGCAAUAAAGAAAGAGUUUAGGCUGGGCGCAGUGGCUCACGCCUGUAAUCCCAGCACUUUGGGCGGCCGAGGCGGGUGGAUCACAAGGUCAGGAGAUCGAGACCAUCCUGGCUAACAUGGUGAAACCCCAUCUCUACUAAAGAAAAAAAAAGU
rnacentral:lncRNA from 1 species